CUCCGGACCUGGAAAAGAAAAACAACACGAGAGCUGAGAGAAAUAAAAUAAUCUGUGACGCUGUGGACUGGACCCAACUGAGGGAGCCACGUUGAUUUAUCUUAUCUUCAGACUGACCUGCUUUCGGCCGGGCGUUGGCGAGGAAGGCCAGGCUGAGCAGAAUUAAUCCACUCAGAGCUCUGUGUUGUCUCAUCUUCAUCUUGAUGAUACUGAUCGGCAGACGGGUCACUAAGAGUGGGACCGGACUGGAACUGGAUCAAACUGAGAGGAGGA